CCUACGGGAGGCAGCAGUGAGGAAUAUUGGUCAAUGGGCGCGAGCCUGAACCAGCCAAGUAGCGUGAAGGAUGACUGCCCUACGGGUUGUAAACUUCUUUUAUAAAGGAAUAAAGUGAGGCACGUGUGCCCUUUUGUAUGUACUUUAUGAAUACGGAUCGGCUAACUCCGUGCCAGCCGCCGCGGUAAUACGGAGGUUCCGAGCGUUAUCCGGAUUUAUUGGGUUUAAAGGGAGCGUAGAUGGGUUGGUAAGUCAGUUGUGAAAGUUUGCGGCGCAACCGUAGAAUUGCAAUUGAUACUGGCAGUCUUGAGUACAGUAGAGGUAGGCGGAAUUCGUGGUGUAGCGGUGAAAUGCUUAGAUAUCACGAAGAACACCGAUUGCGAAGGCAGCUUACUAAACUGCCACUGACAUUGAUGCUCGAAAGUGUGGGUAUCAAACAGGAUUAGAUACCCUAGUAGUC
rnacentral:rRNA from 1 species